UCGGUGUUCUGCACAGGUACAACCUCAACCUGCUGAGGAUUCUUCUCAGGAAUCGCGUUCCCAUCCGCAUCCCCGUCGUUCUCGGGCGGAUUUGGGCCCCAGGCAGCCCAGGCCAUUGCCUGGGGCGUGGGAAAUUUUCUAGGCCUAGAUUUUUUUUAAAAAGUGUUCGGCCUGGGGCGCAGCCCACUUCCAAGCCCAGGCAGCCCAGGCGAACUGGCCCGGUCGCCCAGGCCGACUCCCUCUGCCCGCACGAACGCGCAACCCUCACCGCCCGCAGAGACGAACCAGCCGCAACCGCCCCUUCUGCUUCUUCCCCCGACUUGACGAACCCUAGGCGCCGCCACCGCCUGCCGUCGGUGCCGCCACUGCCUGCCGUCGUGCCUGCCAGCUCCGUCCGGCAGCGCCCCCGGGCUCCCCCCACCUUCCAGUCUUCGCUCCCUUCUGCUUCUGCGGCGUCCCCGCGUCAGGUUGCGCCGCUGCCGGCUGCUGGCCUGUCCGGCGAGGGCGCGAGGCGGCGACCCCGGCUAGGCAGCUACGGCGGCUAGGGCGCGAGGCUACAUGCUUUUGCAAAUGCUCUUGUGCUGUUGUGCACAUUCAUCCCAGCCAGUAUCCCAGCCACUUGGACUCUACUAAUUCAACUCUGAAGAAGAACAAGGUUAAUGAUAUAAGAGGACUCCAAAACUUGGCCAAGUCAUUAUCUGCACAGGGUUCUGGUCAGUUCUGUAAUGCCAUGAAUAGUAUAAAUUAUGCAUUGAGAAACUGUUUCUGCUUUAACUGGAGAAAUAACUUAAAUGCCAUGAGUGAAUACACAUUCUAUUCAUGACCAUGUAGUCUUCAUGAAGCUGUUGGAUAGCAUAGCAUACCUUAAACCUUGCAGUAGUCAGGGUAAUGAAUCUUCUGUUUGAUCUUUUAAAUCAGCCGUGGCACAGCGCAAAGCUACGAGACAAAUUUCAGUACUUGAAGAAAAAAUUGUGAUUAAAUAGCAGAAGAAGACUUGAUGGCCGUUUGGAAAGAAAUAAAAGCUGCCUUAAUCUAUUACUUGUAUUUUGUUAGCACACCAAGUUAGGUCUUGCAAAAGUUGGCAACAGCUUAAAUUAGUGCUGAAAGAUGGUUAUAAAUGUUCAAAUUAGACCCAUGUUUCUUUCUUUCUUAUGUUACUAUAGGACAAAGCUUUGUGCCGAAUAGGCAGAAAAGGGAAGCCAUGUAUUUGGUGAUACAUGUGGCAGAAUAGCAUAGUGUAGAAGAACCAAGUUCUUUUGUAAGGAAGCAUAACUUCAAAUCAACUGUUUUGAGUAAUUUUU